AGAGUUUGAUCCUGGCUCAGAUUGAACGCUGGCGGAAUGCUUUACACAUGCAAGUCGAACGGCAGCACGGGAGCUUGCUCCUGGUGGCGAGUGGCGAACGGGUGAGUAAUGCGUCGGAACGUACCGAGUAAUGGGGGAUAACGCAGCGAAAGUUGUGCUAAUACCGCAUACGCCCUGAGGGGGAAAGUGGGGGAUCGUAAGACCUCACGUUAUUCGAGCGGCCGACGUCUGAUUAGCUAGUUGGUGAGGUAAUGGCUCACCAAGGCGACGAUCAGUAGCGGGUCUGAGAGGAUGAUCCGCCACACUGGGACUGAGACACGGCCCAGACUCCUACGGGAGGCAGCAGUGGGGAAUUUUGGACAAUGGGCGCAAGCCUGAUCCAGCCAUUCCGCGUGAGUGAAGAAGGCCUUCGGGUUGUAAAGCUCUUUCGGCAGGAACGAAACGGUGGGGGCUAAUACCCCCUGCUAAUGACGGUACCUGAAGAAGAAGCACCGGCUAACUACGUGCCAGCAGCCGCGGUAAUACGUAGGGUGCGAGCGUUAAUCGGAAUUACUGGGCGUAAAGCGUGCGCAGGCGGUUAUGUAAGACAGAUGUGAAAUCCCCGGGCUUAACCUGGGAACUGCGUUUGUGACUGCAUAACUCGAGUGUGGCAGAGGGGGGUGGAAUUCCACGUGUAGCAGUGAAAUGCGUAGAGAUGUGGAGGAACACCGAUGGCGAAGGCAGCCCCCUGGGUCAACACUGACGCUCAUGCACGAAAGCGUGGGUAGCAAACAGGAUUAGAUACCCUGGUAGUCCACGCCCUAAACGAUGCGAACUAGGUGUUGGGGAAGGAGACUUUCUUAGUACCGCAGCUAACGCGUGAAGUUCGCCGCCUGGGGAGUACGGCCGCAAGGUUAAAACUCAAAGGAAUUGACGG
rnacentral:rRNA from 1 species